rnacentral:rRNA from 1 species
GAUGAACGCUGGCGGCGUGCCUAAUACAUGCAAGUCGAACGCACAGCGAGAGGUGCUUGCACCUUUCAAGUGAGUGGCGAACGGGUGAGUAACACGUGGACAACCUGCCUCAAGGCUGGGGAUAACAUUUGGAAACAGAUGCUAAUACCGAAUAAAACUCAGUGUCGCAUGACACAAAGUUAAAAGGCGCUUUGGCGUCACCUAGAGAUGGAUCCGCGGUUCAUUAGUUAGUUGGUGGGGUAAAGGCCUACCAAGACAAUGAUGCAUAGCCGAGUUGAGAGACUGAUCGGCCACAUUGGGACUGAGACACGGCCCAAACUCCUACGGGAGGCUGCAGUAGGGAAUCUUCCACAAUGGGCGAAAGCCUGAUGGAGCAACGCCGCGUGUGUGAUGAAGGCUUUCGGGUCGUAAAGCACUGUUGUAUGGGAAGAACAGCUAGAAUAGGGAAUGAUUUUAGUUUGACGGUACCAUACCAGAAAGGGACGGCUAAAUACGUGCCAGCCGCCGCGGUAA